AAAGCCCUAAAUUUUGAAAUCUCUUCGUCGCGCGCGCCUAAGUCUCUUUGUCUUCCUUGUUCGUUUCCGCCGUCGCCCUAAAAUCUCUCGCACGAAAACUCAGUCGUCUACUUCCCAGAUUUCGUCUUCUCCGUUCACGAAAACUCAGUCCUCCGUCGUUGCCGUCGGUUCGCACCCAACUAUUUCCGUGGCGAGAGAACGAAGAUGGAAACGGAAGUUAUAAGAACCCUAGCUUACUUUAUCGAAUUGGAACAAGAAAAUUAAAAAAGGGAGAUUUUGAAUGAGUAGAUUAAUGCUUAUUUGAUAUGCCGAGUUGGAUUGAGAGAGCAUGAUGGUUCAAGUGUUGCUGUUUCUUCUCGGUUCUUAUGGGGAACGGAUCUGGUUUUCUGAUUUUAGAAAAGGGUUAAUCAGGUCAAGAAAAGGCCAGGUGGGAUCUGUGCAUCACUUUCAAAGACGGGAGAGUAUCCUUCGCAGAGGCCACCAACUCCUCUUUUGGAUACAAUAAACUAUCCAAUUCAUAUGAAAAAUCUACACCAACUCCUCUUUUGGAUACAAUAAACUAUCCAAUUCAUAUGAAAAAUCUAUCUAUCAAGGAGCUUUAUCAACUAGGUGAUGAAGUAAGAUCCGAUGUCAUCUUCAACGUUUCUAAAACUGGUGGUCACUUGGGUUCCAGCCUUGGCGUGGUGAAGCUCUCGGUGGCUCUUCACUAUGUCUUCAAUGCUCCACAGGACAGAAUUUUGUGGGAUGUUGGUCAUCAGGUGCUGUUCAUCUUGCAUUCUCUCUUGCUUGGGAAAUAUUUAUAUUUGACUUGGUGAGAUAAGAGAUGUCAAUGGCCUUUUAUUUUAAUACGUUAUAAAAUAUGUGAUGAUUGUAGUCUUAUCCACACGAAAUUCUAACAGGAAGGAGGGACAAAAUGUCAGUUUUUUUCUUAAAAUUAAGUUAUAAACUUACUUCCACCUUUCUUUUUUUGCAAUUUCUGGCAUAGAUUUCUGUUAGUAUGUUGAGAGGGAGGAACAAAUUUUGAUGCAUCAUGCAUUAGUUCUUUUGUUAUAUCUUUAUGAAGCAAUUUUCUUGUAGGUUUUUUGAAUCAUUUUUAAGCUUUGAAGACCAAAGAAUUCAGCAUCUUCUUCAUUUCCACAGUUUUUGCUACUGGAAAUGAGGGGGUGAAUAACCUUGGCUUUAUUUGAUUUAUGGGAAAUAAAUGUCUUGAAUUCAUAAUAUAUAGAAACUGAUUUGGUAAUUAGUUUGAUUCUAAUUCUUGAAUGCUGCUUCUUUCUGUUCAUUUUAAAUAUUCUAAUGUUUGUUGCACCUCUAACUUCAAUUGACGUAGAACGAUAUGGAUCAUAGUUGUCAUCCAAUGAACUCCAUGAGUUUGAUGCUCUCAAGGAUGAUUACGAGAUCAAUUGGCAUUUAAAGCACCUUUAAGAAGAUUGCAUCUAAUUGAUGUGUGAAAAGCAAACCAAGUAGUUCUCACUCCUUUUAAUCCUAGGAAAUUUAUCUUUUUGUGGCUGAUUUUUUGAAUUGUUCAUAUGGAGAGGAGGAUUGAUUGGUAUACUUUUGAGACUUUGUUGUGAUAUCCAUUCUGAAACUUUGUUGAUAGGUUAAUUGUUCAUAAGAGUUGAAUUGUUGAUAGGUGAAUUGUUCAUAUGGAGGGUUGAUAGGUGAAUUGUUCUUAAGAGUUGAAUUGUUUUGAAACUUUGCUGUGGUAGCCAUCCUGAAACUUUGUUGCGGUUGCCAUUCUGAAAUUUUAUGUAUAAAGAUGAUAUGCUUUUGGGUUAAGUUAGUUAAUUAGAGGAUGUUGAGUUGAAUCCUUGGAAAUUUGAUGGAAUUAUUUAUAUUGAUUUUGUAAA